rnacentral:rRNA from 1 species
AUGAACGCUGGCGGCGUGCCUAAUACAUGCAAGUCGAGCGAACGGACGAGAAGCUUGCUUCUCUGAUGUUAGCGGCGGACGGGUGAGUAACACGUGGAUAACCUACCUAUAAGACUGGGAUAACUUCGGGAAACCGGAACUAAUACCGGAUGAUAUUUUGAACCGCAUGGUUCAAAAGUGAAAGACGGUCUUGCUGUCACUUAUAGAUGGAUCCGCGCUGCAUUAGCUAGUUGGUAAGGUAACGGCUUACCAAGGCAACGAUGCAUAGCCGACCUGAGAGGGUGAUCGGCCACACUGGAACUGAGACACGGUCCAGACUCCUACGGGAGGCAGCUGUAGGGAAUCUUCCGCAAUGGGCGAAAGCCUGACGGAGCAACGCCGCGUGAGUGAUGAAGGUCUUCGGAUCGUAAAACUCUGUUAUUAGGGAAGAACAUAUGUGUAAGUAACUGUGCACAUCUUGACGGUACCUAAUCAGAAAGCCACGGCUAACUACGUG